AGUGAACGCUGGCGGUAGGCCUAACACAUGCAAGUCGAACGGCAGCACAGUAAGAGCUUGCUCUUACGGGUGGCGAGUGGCGGACGGGUGAGGAAUACAUCGGAAUCUACUUUUUCGUGGGGGAUAACGUAGGGAAACUUACGCUAAUACCGCAUACGACCUACGGGUGAAAGCAGGGGAUCUUCGGACCUUGCGCGAUUGAAUGAGCCGAUGUCGGAUUAGCUAGUUGGCGGGGUAAAGGCCCACCAAGGCGACGAUCCGUAGCUGGUCUGAGAGGAUGAUCAGCCACACUGGAACUGAGACACGGUCCAGACUCCUACGGGAGGCAGCAGUGGGGAAUAUUGGACAAUGGGCGCAAGCCUGAUCCAGCCAUACCGCGUGGGUGAAGAAGGCCUUCGGGUUGUAAAGCCCUUUUGUUGGGAAAGAAAAACAGCAGGUUAAUACCCCGCUGUCCUGACGGUACCCAAAGAAUAAGCACCGGCUAACUUCGUG
rnacentral:rRNA from 1 species